UAGGACGAUCCUAAUCUUGGGU
rnacentral:piRNA from 1 species